GUUGUUGGGUAGGGGAGCGUUCUGUAAGCCUGUGAAGGUGUGUCGUGAGGCAUGCUGGAGGUAUCAGAAGUGCGAAUGCUGACAUAAGUAACGAUAAAGCGGGUGAAAAGCCCGCUCGCCGGAAGACCAAGGGUUCCUGUCCAACGUUAAUCGGGGCAGGGUGAGUCGACCCCUAAGGCGAGGCCGAAAGGCGUAGUCGAUGGGAAACGGGUUAAUAUUCCCGUACUUGGUGUUACUGCGAAGGGGGGACGGAGAAGGCUAUGUUGGCCGGGCGACGGUUGUCCCGGUUUAAGCGUGUAGGUGUGUGUUCCAGGUAAAUCCGGUUCACUUUAACACUGAGGCGUGACGACGAGGCACUACGGUGCUGAAGCAACAAAUGCCCUGCUUCCAGGAAAAGCCUCUAAGCAUCAGGUAACACGAAAUCGUACCCCAAACCGACACAGGUGGUCAGGUAGAGAAUACCAAGGCGCUUGAGAGAACUCGGGUGAAGGAACUAGGCAAAAUGGUGCCGUAACUUCGGGAGAAGGCACGCUGACACGUAGGUGAAGUGAUUUACUCAUGGAGCUGAAGUCAGUCGAAGAUACCAGCUGGCUGCAACUGUUUAUUAAAAACACAGCACUGUGCAAACACGAAAGUGGACGUAUACGGUGUGACGCCUGCCCGGUGCCGGAAGGUUAAUUGAUGGGGUCAGCGCAAGCGAAGCUCCUGAUCGAAGCCCCGGUAAACGGCGGCCGUAACUAUAACGGUCCUAAGGUAGCGAAAUUCCUUGUCGGGUAAGUUCCGACCUGCACGAAUGGCGUAAUGAUGGCCAGGCUGUCUCCACCCGAGACUCAGUGAAAUUGAACUCGCUGUGAAGAUGCAGUGUACCCGCGGCAAGACGGAAAGACCCCGUGAACCUUUACUAUAGCUUGACACUGAACAUUGAGCCUUGAUGUGUAGGAUAGGUGGGAGGCUUUGAAGUGUGGACGCCAGUCUGCAUGGAGCCGACCUUGAAAUACCACCCUUUAAUGUUUGAUGUUCUAACGUGGACCCGUGAUCCGGGUUGCGGACAGUGUCUGGUGGGUAGUUUGACUGGGGCGGUCUCCUCCUAAAGAGUAACGGAGGAGCACGAAGGUUGGCUAAUCCUGGUCGGACAUCAGGAGGUUAGUGCAAUGGCAUAAGCCAGCUUGACUGCGAGCGUGACGGCGCGAGCAGGUGCGAAAGCAGGUCAUAGUGAUCCGGUGGUUCUGAAUGGAAGGGCCAUCGCUCAACGGAUAAAAGGUACUCCGGGGAUAACAGGCUGAUACCGCCCAAGAGUUCAUAUCGACGGCGGUGUUUGGCACCUCGAUGUCGGCUCAUCACAUCCUGGGGCUGAAGUAGGUCCCAAGGGUAUGGCUGUUCGCCAUUUAAAGUGGUACGCGAGCUGGGUUUAGAACGUCGUGAGACAGUUCGGUCCCUAUCUGCCGUGGGCGCUGGAGAACUGAGGGGGGCUGCUCCUAGUACGAGAGGACCGGAGUGGACGCAUCACUGGUGUUCGGGUUGUCAUGCCAAUGGCACUGCCCGGUAGCUAAAUGCGGAAGAGAUAAGUGCUGAAAGCAUCUAAGCACGAAACUUGCCCCGA
rnacentral:rRNA from 1 species